GGUGUGGCUGAGACCAGCCCUCUAGUUCUGGAGCCCCGUCGCGCGGUCCCAGGGCCAGGCAGGGGCGGAGGCGCAGGUGAGAAUUUCUAGGCUUCCCCCCACACAAAGUUCACACCGGAAAUAAAUGUGCAACAGAUCUGAGGCUGCCUGGCUCUUGGAUCUUCUCCCAGUCACUGUCAGGAGCCCUCCAAAGCUCAGAGCCCCACACUGCUACUUGCCGUAAGGAGGUGCGUGAGUAUAUUCCAGCAACCUGGUUAAAAUGUCUUUUUCAGGUGAAAUAUGUUCUGGUGGAAACAACCCAAAUGUCCAACAUAUGAGCCUGGGAAAUUGACCCUGGUAUGUCCAUGUGGGGAAUAUCACAUGAUCAUCAAAAGUGGUGAUGGAAACCUAGGAAGAGAUGGAAAGAUGAUUCUAAUCUAGCAACAUAAAAGGGCAGCUUACAAAGCUGCUCUAUUUUUUUGUUUUGAAAAAUAUUCAAAAAGUAUUUGAAGAGCAUGUAUUAUAACAUUUCUAAUGAUUAUUGCUAAUGGAUUAUGAGAGAUUUUUAUUCCCUGCCCCCUCUGUCUUUUCUAACCUAUGCUUUCUAAAUUUCCUACCAAGAAACAUUUAUUACUCUGUAGCAAAGUAACAGGUUUAAGUCCAAAUCCUAGUCCUAAUGGCCUCAAUGAUCUUGAGGCCAUUGCUUAAUUUCUCCACCUGGGGAGAAUCAUUUUAGGAUUUUGUGAGGAUUAAACAAGCUAACUGUAAGAGGCACUUAGUACAUUUUUAGGCGUUGUCACUAACAAAAUCAUUUUUGCAAAUCUUUCUACUCUGGUAAAACCCAUUCCCAAAGCAGACCAACCACAUCUGGGAGCCACUGGGGCUUUGUCUCAGAAGGCCUGGACUCCAUCCCUCCCCUGCCCUCUCUCUAGGGUGGGCAGCUAGGGCUGAGGGCUGGGAUCCCGCUUUCAGUGCCUGCCAAGAGUUGCUCUGGCAGAUAUCUGGGUUUUGUUAUGCACAGAGAAAUAAUUUGGUGUUGGCAUAAUGGCAUAUUACUUAAAAGCAUGGAUCCUGCAGUCAGUCUGCCUGCCUCUCACAUCUAUUAAUGGGGAGAAAAAUGCCCCCAUGCUCCCAGGGUUCAGGUGAAGAUCAGUGUCACCACAGUGUUGCAGCUUGGGCACGGCAUCUUGACCAAUGCCGACUCUUGCAGCUGCAAUGUCAAGCCUUAGAAAUUCACACAACAUAAAACCAUUUGCAAGUGACCAUCAGCCACCACCUCUAUGUGUUUCAAAGCAUUUUGUCACCUCAAAAAGACUGCUAAUCUCCUGUCUUUCUGGGUAUUCCAUCAAAAUAGAAUCAUAGAAUGAGUGGCCUUUUGUUUGUGGCUUCUGAUUCUCUAACAGCUUAACCAUUUACCAUUCACUGGCAUUAAGUACGUUGUCUCACACACCGUCACCACCAUCUUUUUCCAGAACUUCAGCACCUCACGUAGACCCGGAGGCUGGCCUUUAAAUUCUUACACAGCCUCCUCGGCAAGUGUUAGAAUCCCCAGAGCGUGUGAAAACACAGAUUGCUGCCUCCACCCUGAAUAUUUGCUGCCUUAGAUUUCAGGUCUACGGGACACAGUGGACAGUGGCCUCAGUCAGGGUCAGCCAGGGAAGCCGAGCCAUGUGACCUGUGGAAUGAGGGAUUUGUGGCAGGUGGUGGGAGUGAGGUCUCACACGAACACAGGGGAAACAGAGCAGAGGUGAAAGGAUUGUUGUCAGCAGGGCAUCUCCAGCUGAUCCACUGGAAGUCAGAUGUCCACUUGCAGAGUGGGACAGGAGGGAGGCUGGUGCAAAUGUCUGUCAUCAGCCUUGCAUGGCAGGUCCCCAGCCAAGUGUCCCAUGGUGGCUUGGGCCACUGUGGUCAGCAGGAAGAGCGAUACAGAGUGGAAG
ensembl:lncRNA